GACGAACCGUGCGAACGUUGUUCGGAAUCACUGGGCUUAAAGGGCGCGUAGGCGGCUGAUCAAGUCCGGGGUGAAAGCCCCCAGCUUAACUGGGGAAGUGCCUCGGAUACUGGUCAGCUCGAGCGAGGUAGGGGUCGUGGGAACUUCCGGUGGAGCGGUGAAAUGCGUUGAUAUCGGAAGGAACGCCGGUGGCGAAAGCGCACGACUGGACCUCUUCUGACGCUGAGGCGCGAAAGCCAGGGGAGCAAACGGG
rnacentral:rRNA from 1 species